rnacentral:rRNA from 1 species
GACGAACGCUGGCGGCGUGCUUAACACAUGCAAGUCGAACGGAAAGGCCCCAGCUUGCUGGGGUACUCGAGUGGCGAACGGGUGAGUAACACGUGGGUGAUCUGCCCUGCACUCUGGGAUAAGCCUGGGAAACUGGGCCUAAUACCGGAUAGGACCGUGCUUUAGUGUGUGCGGUGGAAAGUUUUUCGGUGCAGGAUGAGCCCGCGGCCUAUCAGCUUGUUGGUGGGGUAAUGGCCUACCAAGGCGGCGACGGGUAGCCGGCCUGAGAGGGUGUACGGCCACAUUGGGACUGAGACACGGCCCAGACUCCUACGGGAGGCAGCAGUGGGGAAUAUUGCACAAUGGGCGCAAGCCUGAUGCAGCGACGCCGCGUGGGGGAUGACGGCCUUCGGGUUGUAAACCCCUUUCGGCAGGGACGAAGCUUUUGUGACGGUACCUGCAUAAGAAGCACCGGCUAACUACGUGC